UACGAAGGGGGCUAGCGUUGCUCGGAAUUACUGGGCGUAAAGCGCACGUAGGCGGAUUGUUAAGUCGGGGGUGAAAUCCUGGAGCUCAACUCCAGAACUGCCUUCGAUACUGGCGAUCUCGAGUUCGGGAGAGGUGAGUGGAACUGCGAGUGUAGAGGUGAAAUUCGUAGAUAUUCGCAAGAACACCAGUGGCGAAGGCGACACACUGGCCCGUAACUGACGCUGAGGCGCGAAAGCGUGGGGAGCAAACAGG
rnacentral:rRNA from 1 species